ACGCGUCACGUAUAAUCCUUUUAGCCAACAUCAGUGAGGAGUUCAAUUCCAGUUUAAUGACGAAGACGGCUCAAUGAUCACUGUUUUUUAAUUCUGAUGGAAAAAAGAGGCCAACAUCCUGCCAUCUUGACCAAUUAACGUGACUGACAAUGGACUGAGAGUUCGUCAAAAAGUUGCCAAUUGAAGGUCAAAGACGCCAAAUGUUGUAACAACAUAGAUGAUAUCAUGACAUUCCCGGUUGUGAGUAUCUACACACCUUUAGCCGUCAUAUUUCAUCCCUAACUGAAAAGACUCACGGCAAAUUGAAAUUCAGUUUUUUUCUUUCUUCCUUUGUCUCUUUUUCGACCUUUCUUGUUAUUAUCCCGAUUUCACUUGUACAUGUACACCUGAUUGUACUGCCAUGGAAAAAAGCAAUGAAGGAAAAAAGGAAAUAGCCAAAUUCAAAUUAAAUUGCGUAUACCAUUUACACGACAUUGGCGUAUUCCUUCUUUUAUUGGCUUUUAUCUAGGACCAAGUUAUUGCUGCUGGGUCUAUCUACAUGCAUAAAAGAACAUACUCAUAAAUUUAUACGUGUCACUAUAUCGAAUGGGUGUUUUUUUUUCCAGAAAAUACGGACUUCUAAAUUCUUCUUACACUAUCAUCCUUGAAUCAACAGUUAAGGCCAUGAGAAUAAAGGAAACGAUGAUCAAUUUAAGAAGCAACCAAAGGUCAAACAAAUUCUCUUUAUGAGUUCCAUGAAAAUUAUAAAGAGAACAAAGUGGAGAACAGGAGUUCUAACAUUAGGGUAGAAAGGGCUAAGGUCCAACCCUCCUUGGAUACCCACAAAUCCAAUCUCGGUAAGUAAUUCAGAUAUGGUGAUUGUAAUGUACCAAGAAAAUUAACAACAAAAUCAAGCGAUCCAAGUCUACUUGACUGCUCUAAUAAUACUAUGGUACAUUAUAAUUACCAUAAUAAUGUAUCAAAAAAAGAGAAAACCUCCUGUAAGCUUAC